ACUACAAUGAUUAAAAUGACAUUGACUUCAUUAUAAUAACAGAUAAAACACCUCGUACAUGUAAUUCACAGUUUAAAGCUUUUAAAAUUAGGAUCAUCUGAUCUGAUCAAGAAUAACGUAUAGCUGUCUUGUUGUAUCCGCUAACAUUACUGUGCAUAGAUCUAGACUGUCAAUAUUUUGAACUAGAUUUUUUAUCCUGACCAAAUGCUGAUAUUUUACCGGCCAGUUUGAAAAAGAAAUCACCAAUAAACCUGAGCGACCACUCAAACACCAAAAUGUUUCCACACGAGACCAAUACCAUAUACAAAAUGUACAUGUACAUGUCCGACAAGAUAUGAUAAGUAAAUAAAUUGCCACUGAACACUAUUGAACAUUCAUGAUCAUUACUUAAGUUAGGUUUGGUUUGAAACAAGUUACCACUUAUUAACCAUUUUGGUGUGUAGUACAUAAAGCCCCAGUAUACUAAAAUCACUUAUGUCUUUGGACAAGUAGGAAGAAAAAUGAAAAAUUUUAAAAUGCGUUGAGAGUACUAAAUGUACUCAGGAUUUUAAAUUUAGUUGUAAAUUUAAUACAUUGUGAAGACGAUUGUAGGUUUAUUAGGCCAUAAACAAAUCCAAUGUUUCAGCUAACAGAAACAGUUCCGACUUUACAAAAAGAAUGUAUAAAAUCGCAAAUUUAAUUCUUCAUGUUUUGUUUUGACAGAUUUGCCUAAUUGUGUCUGGAAUUGUAGACUAAGUAGAAUUUAAUUUUGAAGUUUAUGAUGGAACAAGUUUUGGCGGAUAUCUUUUUUGGUUUCAUUGGUUUUCUCUCUGACUUCGAAUUUUCUGAAGCUUGCUCUUUUUGUUCUGAUUUUAAUUUUGAUGUUCUAGAGUUAUUUAUUUGUGGAUUAAACUAUUUGGUUUUCUUCAAUGCUGUAGAGUUUAAUUCCACUGUUGUCGUUUGUGCUUCUUCUCAUUUUGAUUUUAUUGCGCUCAGUUUGGUGUAAUUUCACUUAAAGCCAUCUGAUAAAAGCAACACAUAUGAUUAAGCAUUAAAAUCAGUACCAGCUGGUAUUUACAAUGAUGGCAUCCAGAUCUAGACGUCGGCAACAAACAGCAGAUUUACCAAUACCAUGCCCCGUUGGCCACCCAGUUUGGGUUAAGUUAACAGGGGAUGGAGGUGGGGCAUGGUGGCCAGGAAAACUUUUAAGAAUAGACGAAGUGUACUUUUGGAGUGAUCAAAGCAGGAAAGUUAAGAUGCGCAGAGGACAAAGAGAAUUUUGAAACAGAUCUCAAAAGAGCAUUGGCUCUACAUCAAAAGGGAACUCCAGACACUGUCAGUGAAGGCAGCGAUACUAAGGGAAAUCCAGACACUGUCAGUGAAGGCAACGAUACUAAGGGAAAUCCAGGCACUGUCAGUGAAGGCAACGAUACUAAGGGAAAUCCAGACACUGUCAGUGAAGGCAACGAUACUAAGGGAAAUCCAGACACUGUCAGUGAAGGCAACGAUACUAAGGGAAAUCCAGACACUGUCAGUGAAGGCAACGAUACUAAGGGAAAUCCAGACACUGUCAGUGAAGGCAACGACUCUAAGGGAAAUCCAGACACUGUCAGUGAAGGCAACGAUACUAAGGGAAAUGCAGACACUGUCAGUGAAGGAAAACUGAUGUUGAUCCAAGAUUUCAAUGCAGUCAGCAAAUUCAAAGGCAAAAGUAUUCAAGAGAUCAGUGUAGAUGAAAUCAUACAAGAAGGAGAAGACUUUGUCUCUGGGAAUUCUAGUGACAUUGAGGCGGCAUUGCACCAAAAAAGUCAGGAGAACACAGAAAUGGAAUCGGAGGAAACACCAGAAGCUAUGAAAUUGGAGGAAAUCCCACAAACUUCCAGACCACUGCCACCAAAAGAGAAAAAAGCG